CUGCAUUUCAGGAAGAGAGCGUCAGCUGGAAGGCGUCGUUAUGUUUACUAAUAAAGUUAUUUGUGCUGUCAGCGGUUAUAUAUUUAUCUUCAUCGUUUCAUAGAAUGUCUGUAAACACCACAGGAGACAGUGUCCACCAUAAAGGCUCUUUAUUUCUGCAUGAUCAGGCCUGAUAGAAAAUCACCCUGAGUGAUGACAACUGCAAAGCAUGGUGGAGGGACGGAUAAUCCCUGCAGUCAUGAAAGAUGGAAAGGAUGAUACUGUUUGUCAUCUGACUGUUUGCAAACCAGGUUUGUUACUUAUUCCAACCUGGACAAGGGAAGUUCCAAUGAAAGAAGCUUCACCUUCUGAAAGGAACCUUUCAGCAUGAUCCAAAACCACCUGCAGUUUAAGAAAUAUGUUUACUUCAUUCCAUUCUUCCCUUCUGAAGACAAAGUUUGUAUACACAGCCUGUACGGCUGACAAAUGCUAAAUGCUCACCGGCUGAAAUCGUACAAAAAUAUUUUUCUCUGCUUAAAGUGUACCAUUUGCAUUUUCCAGAAAUCCCUGCAUGCAAACCAAAAGCCUAUCAUAAUUUCUUAUAAUUUAUUUCUGUAUGUUGUAAAAAGUAAUUAACAUAGCCAUUAAGUACCAUUUAGCAAAGUAAUACUUUAUUUACAAAAAUGUUUGCAAUUAAACUAAUACAAAGUGCUAGCAUUGGAUUCAGUAGGCUACACAAUGUUUAUGUAUGUUUUAUGUUUUCUUGUGAUUAGAGAUUAGAGUCAUUUUCAAACAAAGUUAAUGUAUUUCUCAAAUGCAAACACAAAUUUGUGUGAACUAUGAACGAUUGUGUGCAAAAAAAUGAAAACUCUCCAAUACAAACAAUACAGCACACCCUACUUGCAGGCACGUGCAGAGGGGGGUGCUUUGGGGUCUUGAGCCCAGGCCCCUUUUCUUCCUCGAGAGAAAGUGCCCUUUUUCUGGGAUUUUUUUAUUAAUGGAUGCAAUUAAUAAUUUAUUAAUACGCAAUUUUGUGCGUAUGUGUUUCUAUUUGCGUACGGCUUUCCCUGGCAAACCAUUAGAAAAUGUCUGGUCAGGUUGGGAAAUGUUGAGAGUUGCGAUGCCUUUCUCCCAUCCGCGUCUCCACGCAGGCGCGCAGCCGCACAUAGCGCGCACGCGCAGCACAGCUGUGCGUGUAGCACGUUUGGCACAUCAGGCAGAGAGCCGCAGAAAUGAAGACCUCCCUCCUUUCCAGUAGCUUUUGUCUUGCUGUGGAGGUGAGUGGUGAUGAACAGACUACAUGUGCUUUCGAAUUCACAUCUAAUUAUCCAAAAGACAAACUGCAAAUAUUGUUUGGCUAACAUCCAUCACGUAUGAGCUAAUGAGUAAGCUAAUAGCUAAAGUUUCGCUAAGGCUGAGGCAGUAUAUCAUUGGCAUACAUGCUAACUUGAUGGAGAAACGACAGCUGAAUACAGUCAAAUUAAUAACUUCAUCAGAAUCGCCUCAUUGAUAUGUAAACCAGGCAUUAAGUAAUUAAGUGCUAACUUGCAUACAUUUGUCAGGCAAUUCAGAUGAACAGGAUAAACAAAAUAACUAAAGCAUACCACCAGUUAUUAGUUAAUAUGGCUUUCAUCAAGAGUCUUUUCCCUUAAAAUGUUAUGUUUACAUAUGCAGAUAUAUAUGCCUCUUGUUUUGGAUAAUUUAGAAGAAAUCUACAGAAGCAAACAGACGAGGGUAUAGAAGGCUUAAAACAAACAACUUUAUGUGUAUUUUGGAAAUGUCCUUUCCAUUAGAGCAAAAGAAGACAUGAAAGCAAAAUAGACCAACAUCUCAAAAUGUCCUGCCUUAAACAAUAACUUGAUAAGUUUGAUGUCAGACUCCUCAUCUAAUAACUAUCCAUUUUAUAUGUUGUGUAUGCUGAUAGAUCUAAACAGCCCUCCCUCAAAUGUGAAACAAAGUUCGUUACCAUUAGUGUGUGUGUGUGCGCAUGCGUGGUACAGUAAGUGUAAUUAUAGGUAAUAAUAAUUAGUUAAGCAGCUGUAUUUUUGUAUUUUGUCAAUCAUUUUUUGCAGUGUGUUUUAAUUAUUUUUGCAGUUUUUUUCCUGUAAAAUAACAAAUUAGCACCAACUGCCUUUUUCAGUUUAAUGUGAAGGUCAUUGUUUUAAUUAUUUUGGUGUUAUUGGGACACCAACAGUUUAUUGGCGUGUGCAAAAUAAACAAAUUAUUAGUGAAAAUAUGUCAUUUUCCUUUGCGCAAUCAUUUAUCCUAAAUAUAUACUUGAAACUUUAGCAUAGAAAAUAUACACAAUGUGGCUUAGUUUCAUGUUGUUGUCUGUUCUUGUGAUAAAAUUUGUGAAUUCUACAGAAGACCAUUAUUGGAAAAUGAAAGAAUUGGGUGAGUGUGAGGGAUUAAAAAAAUAGUUAUUUUAAUAUAUUUAACAUUUUGUUUGGAAAAAAUUAAAACAAAUAUGAGAAGUGCCCUUUUUUCCACUUGAGCCCAUGCCCCUCAAAAUGUCUGUGCACGUCCCUGUUCAUACGCCUUAUUUUUAAUCUGUGUUUGAUACAGUUGUUAUGUUAUUUUUUGCAAAAAGUUAAAUGUGUGUUCAUGAUUUUAAUACUGAAUAUAUCAUAUUGUACAAUAAAUACUAUAUUAAUUUG